rnacentral:tRNA from 1 species
AGGGCCGUAGCUCAACUGGCAGAGCACCGGUCUCCAAAACCGGGGGUUGUAGGUUCGAGUCCUACCGGCCCUG